rnacentral:misc_RNA from 1 species
GUCAAGUUAAAAAAAAAUAAAAAAUAAGUUGUACAUAUCAAUAUUAACAAGUUGUUAAUAAUUAGUAUCAAAGAAUCUUUUAAUUAUUGUUUUUAUUUUUGUUUAUUUUUUUCCUAUAUUGUUUUUAGAAAAAAGUAUAUUCCUGGUCAAGUGAAAACUAACAGCUGAAAUUAUUUAUUAAUGUGAUUUGCCCAGUGGUCUUUAAAUUCUUAUGGAACAUCUCUAUUUUCUAAUUAGAGUUUUGUGAACUGAUGUAUGUGUGGAGUACUAGUGCUGUUGGUUUAGAUCUGGGAAAGUCAGUGAAGAAGACAGAAAACAGAGAAGAUACAAAGUUAUAUAAUCGAGGACAUAAUAAAAGAAAGAAUAUGUCUGCCAACGAUGAAAUGUUCGGCUCUCCCCGCUAUCUUUCCUGGCGAAAGAUGCACCUCUCCAAAGCCAAAUUGAAAGCUUCCAGCAAAACCUCAGCCUUGCUAUCAGGUUUCGCGAUGGUGGCAAUGGUGGAACUACAGCUCAACAACGAAUCUUCAAUUCCUGGACCAGUUCUAGUAGUGUUCGCCGUUAUAACCACCCUAUUGGUUGCCGUACAUAUGCUAGCAUUAAUGAUUAGCACAUGUAUCCUACCCAAUAUUGAAACAGUUUGUAGUUUGGACUCAGGAAUAAACUUCGUUGAUGAAUCACCCCAUGAAAGGCUUCACUGGUACAUAGAAAUAGCCUGGGCAUUUUCGACUUUACUGGGUCUUUUACUGUUUUUAGCAGAAAUAGCCAUUAUUUGUUGGCUAAAGUUUUAUAACGUGAACACAACGGCUGCUUGGUCGGCUUGUGUCGUACUAGUGCCUAUUUUAUUUGUGUUUUUAGCGUUCGCGAUACAUUUUUAUCGCUCACUUGUAGCGCACAAGUACGAAAUAAGUAUGAAAGAAUUAAAACGAAUAGGCGAGCAAAUAGGAGACAUGGCUGGUACCAAAUUGUACUCGGACGAAAUUCAUAAUAAUAUCCAUGUAGUUUGAAGGGAUUUCGUUAGAAGAUUAAACAUUGGCUGUGAUCUUAAAGAAAAAUGAAGACAAGCACGAAGAAAAAGCAUUCGAUCAAAUUAGACAUGAAGACUGUGAUGAAACCGCUGUUUUCCCGAUUCUUGAAAAGUUCAUCUAUGAUUUGUACAACUUUCCGUUGUUGAGAUGCGUAAAUGAUGCGCGAUUCGCCUUAUUUUUAAAAACCUAAAAGGUCAAGGAUUUGGAUGAACCUUUCCAGAAAAAAAAAUUACAGGAUUUUGACUCAUCCACUUUACCUCCUAGCCAGGCUGAAUUAACGCAGCAUUUAUUGAGGACCAAAUAUAUUGCUACAAUAUGGAAAAAUGCUCAUAAGAAAAUUCCAUCAUAUUUACUACCUGAAAAUUGCGGAUGGAUAUUAGUAGAUUGGAAAUUAUCAAUUUAAAUGUUUCGGCGGGCCAUAGCUGCCUAGUAUAAUACAAGAUAUUAUCGAUACUGGAACAAACGAAGGCAAUGAAGACUUUAAUGCAGAAAGCGAAUCAAAUGAAGAUGAAUAUAGCGAUAGCGAAGGAGAUAUCACGUCCGAAUCGAAUUCCGAUUCCGAUUGCGAUUUUUUUUCAGCCGGCGUGGUAGCCCCUCGCAAAAUACCUACCAAUUUUUUUACACUUUUUAAAAGAUAAAACCAAACUUUUUCCGUAAAUAGAAUCCCUGUAACUUAAGAAUUUUUUUCCCACCCAAAAUUCACCCCUUUCACUACGUAUCCCCCCUUAGCGCCCCAGUUUUGCAAUGGCAGACAUUCAUUUUUAUAUUCGCCUACACUGAUACUAUUAUUUUCAAUAUAAAUUAGCCAUGUACCUGAUGCGGGCACUUUCAUGUAGCCAGCUCUUAGACUAUCACAAUCGCACUGUUUAUAUCCCUGUCCUCCAAAUAUACUGUUUUCUGAUGCAGCUUGUCCAAGGCUAGCCGCAUAUUGAACGUAGGACCUUUGCAUGUCCUAGCUAUUUGUCUUUUUUUGUUAUGUAUAUAUUUACCUAUAUUGUCAUAUAAAGAGCAUAAUUAAAUUGAAGGUACCUAAUAGUUAUUAGAAUUAAAUAUGUCUACAGAAGACGAACUUUGUUUGAAUUCAGAAUCGGAUUCGGAAAUCAAGAAUAUUCUGUUGUGUUUCUAUUUAAAACGGCGAAAAAAGUGUUUAGGUGAAAGUACUCAUUUAAAAAAAAGAAGAACGCAUGGAGAAUUUAAUCUCUUAAGUGAUUUAAGUGACGUUCAAAUUAAACAAUAUUUGUACGCAUAUAGUCUUUGUGACUUGUAUCAUAUAAUACUUUAUUUUCCCGCACGAGUUCAAUUAGGAGUUCCAUUUUUUUACAAAACAGUUGCCACUCUGCAGAGAAAACUGUGCACACUCCACAACCGACAGAGGCCGGACAGAGUACUCUGUUACUAUGUCGCGCAGGCCUCGCCUCUGCUACGUCCAAUAUGCGGCGUUUAAUUUAAUUGCGUGUGUUACAAAAUCCUCUGCUGCCCUACGUUCAAUAUGCGGCUAGCCUAAGGGAGCUUUCUUUUUCUUUUACAGUCUCACUACACAGACAUCCGACACAGCCAGAAAAGAUAGAGUUAAAAUAAAAAAGUUCCUCCCGCUCUUCCGUAGGGGUUAACGAUAAUGCCUAGACAAAUACGAAAAAAUAUUAUUUCAUUCACUGUUUAUCAAUAUUUCCCUUGUUUGGAUGCUUACGUUAUUGCCAGGUCAUUAUCAUUAGUAUCCAAGGCAGUCGGAGAUAUACAGUAAUAACCGGUCGCUAUCGUUAAUGACCGAAUUAUCAUCAUUGUCCGUAACAUAUAUAACAUACAGGUUGGGGAAUCCAUCAUUACGCGUAGAGGGGUGCUCAAAGACGAAAUAUGGCAACGAGCAUGCGUCUAACUUUGAUGGUGGUAAAUAUAUUACGAGCUCUAAAGUUAUAUGUCGGAACAAGCAUUUAUUUUGCAAAUAAAAUGCCAAUUAAACGAAUUUUUUUUAUUUUCAUAUUUUUUAAUUGUAAAUAUGAAAUUAACAA